rnacentral:rRNA from 1 species
GACCCGUCUUGAAACACGGACCAAGGAGUCUAACUUGUACGCAAGUAACUGAGUUACAAUGAAAGCUUUCAUGCAAAAUGAACGUAAAGGUUCUCGUUGAGAGAGCUGACGGAGGAUCCUCGUGCUUACGCCUGCCUUUGAGUGGGACGGCCGGGGCGCACUCCGGGGGCAUCGAAACCGCAAUUGCCGGCUCGGUGCACCUAGAGCGUACACGUUGGGACCCGAAAGAUGGUGAACUAUGCCUGGCAAGGGCGAAGCCAGGGGAAACUCUGGUGGAGGCCCGUUUGGAUUCUGACGUGCAAAUCGAUCCUCACAGCUGGGUAUAGGGGCGAAAGACUAAUCGAACCAUCUAGUAGCUGGUUCCUCCCGAAGUUUCCCUCAGGAUAGCUGGUACUCGUUGUGAGUUUGAACAAGUUUCAUCCGGUAAAGCGAAUGAUUAGAGGCCUUGGGGGCGAAAUGACCUCAACCUAUUCUCAAACUUUAAAUGGGUGAGAUGCCUGACUUGCUUGAAUGAAGUCUUGGCGUUUGAAUUGUGAGAGUACCCAGUGGGCCACUUUUGGUAAGCAGAACUGGCGCUGUGGGAUGAACCAAACGUCGAGUUAAGGUGCCAAAAUGAACGCAAAUGUGAUCCCAUGAAGGGUGUCGGUUGCUAUAGACAGCAGGACGGUGGCCAUGGAAGUUGGAAUCCGCUAAGGAGUGUGU